rnacentral:rRNA from 1 species
GUCUCUCCCAACGAAAAUCGCAAGGAGACGACGAAAAGAAAACAAAAAAUCUAGAACCUUCCCUGGCUGCGGCGAGCCGGCGACCCCACGAAAUCCAACGACUGCCAGACCGCCACGGCCAUCCCCGGAAGGAAGGAAGGAAGGAAGGGACCAGGGAAUCCACACCCGCGAGCCGCCGCGGCGAAGGGAAUCCACACCCGCGAGGGCGGCGAGGGGAGAGGCCAGGCGAGGGAAUGUUGUGGGAGUGGGAGGACGGCGACGAGGCGGCGCGGACGGGCGAGGAGGUCCCCGUCGAUUUCGACUUCUUCUCCUUCUUCGAGCCCAAGGAUUACUACAAGAUACUGGAAGUCGAUUAUGAUGCGUCGGAGGAGACAAUCAGGUCGAGCUACAUCCGUCUGGCGCUGAAAUGGCACCCUGACAAGAAACAAGGUGAAGAAAAGGCAACAUCCAGAUUUCAGGACAUUAAUGAGGCCUACCAAGUUCUUAGCAAUCCAGUAAAACGGCAGGAGUAUGACAAGAAAGGUGUUUUAUACGUUCAGGAUCAGAAUGCAGCGGAUUACCUGAACCGACACAAGGGUUUAAUACUUACAUGCAAUGGCCUUGGUGUAAGGUACUCGGUGUGGUGAGCUUUCUCAGGGGGACAAGAGUCCGCGUCUAUGUGCGGUCGUGGCUGAUGUGUGUAGUUGUAACUUGUAAAAUCUCAUCUAGUUUACAAAGUUUAGCACAGUACUACCAUCUGGUGGGGGCUUAGCGUUUCAUCCUACAAUAGACAUGAUUUAUAUUUGUUGAUUGUCUGUUGUAGGUUGCAGGAGGCAUAGAUGCCCUAUCUCGCACAUUUGCUCCUGAAACACUGUUCCCAUCCUAUGAAAUGAAAGCAUCUGUGUUCAUGAAUGCCUUGCCAUUUUACUCAUAGCAUUGAGUGUGGUGGGAUGUCAGGAAAUGCUUACCGCUGUGUUGUUUACUCCCUGAACUUCUUC